rnacentral:rRNA from 1 species
GACGAACGCUGGCGGCGUGCUUAACACAUGCAAGUCGAACGGAAAGGCCCUGCUUUUGUGGGGUGCUCGAGUGGCGAACGGGUGAAUAACACGUGAGUAACCUGCCCUUGACUUUGGGAUAACUUCAGGAAACUGGGGCUAAUACCGGAUAGGAGCUCCUGCUGCAUGGUGGGGGUUGGAAAGUUUCGGCGGUUGGGGAUGGACUCGCGGCUUAUCAGCUUGUUGGUGGGGUAGUGGCUUACCAAGGCUUUGACGGGUAGCCGGCCUGAGAGGGUGACCGGCCACAUUGGGACUGAGAUACGGCCCAGACUCCUACGGGAGGCAGCAGUGGGGAAUAUUGCACAAUGGGCGGAAGCCUGAUGCAGCAACGCCGCGUGCGGGAUGACGGCCUUCGGGUGGUAAACCGCUUUCGCCUGUGACGAAGCGUGAGUGACGGUAAUGGGUAAAGAAGCACCGGCUAACUACGU